rnacentral:rRNA from 1 species
UAGGGAAUAUUAGUAAUGGGCGGAAGCCUGAACUAACAACCCCGCGUGUGCGGAGAAGGCCUUCGGGUUGUAAAGCACUUUUUGAGAGGAUGAGGAAGGACGGUACUCUCAGAAUAAGUCUCGGCUAACUACGUGCCAGCAGCCGCGGUAACACGUAGGCGGCAAACGUUAUCCGGAUUUACUGGGCGUAAAGCGCGUGUAGGUGGUUUGGUAAGUAGGGCGUGAAAGCUCCUGGCUCAACUGGGGGAGGUCGUUCUAAACUGUCGGACUAGAGGAUGGUAGAGGGAGGUGGAAUUCCGGGUGUAGCGGUGGAAUGCGCAGAUAUCCGGAGGAACACCAGUGGCGAAAGCGGCCUCCUGGACCACUCCUGACACUCAGACGCGAAAGCUAGGGUAGCAAACG